rnacentral:rRNA from 1 species
UUCUUAUUUACGAAUACUUGCCCAACAAAAGCUUAGACUACUUCCUAUUUGAUGAUGCUAAAAGAUUUAUGCUUGAUUGGCCAACAAGGUUUAGCAUAAUCAAAGGGAUAGCUAGAGGACUUGUGUACCUCCACCAUGAUUCGAGAAUGACGAUAAUUCACAGAGAUCUCAAAGCAAGCAACAUCUUGUUGGAUGUGGAGAUGAGACCCAAAAUAUCAGAUUUUGGCAUGGCAAGGAUCUUUGGUGACAACCAGCAACAAGCAGAUACUAGACAUGUU